GACGGAAGGUGCAAGCGUUGCUCGGAAUCACUGGGCGUAAAGGGUGCGUAGGCGGCCGUGCAAGUCUGGCGUGAAAGCCCCGGGCUCAGCCCGGGAAGUGCGCUCGAAACUGCGCGGCUCGAGUGCCGGAGGGGAGAGUGGAAUUCCUGGUGUAGCGGUGAAAUGCGUAGAUAUCAGGAGGAACACCUAUUGCGAAGGCAGCUCGCUGGGACGUUACUGACGCUGAGACGCGAAAGCGUGGGGAGCAAACAGG
rnacentral:rRNA from 1 species